rnacentral:rRNA from 1 species
CCUACGGGCGUCAGCAGUCGAGAAUCUUUCACAAUGGGGGAAACCCUGAUGGUGCGACGCCGCGUGGGGGAAUGCAGGCCUUCGGAUUGUAAACCUCUGUCAUGUGGGAGUAAAUUACAACGAUCGUACCACAUGAGGAAGAGACUGCUAACUCUGUUCCAGCAGCCGCGGUAAUACAGAGGUCUCAAGCGUUGUUCGGAAGCACUGGGCGUAAAGCGUGCGUAGACUGGUUCGUAGGUCGUGUGUGAAAGGCGCGGGCUCAACCCGCGGACUGCACAUGAUACUGCGAGACUAGAGUAAUGGAGGGGGAAGCGGAAUUCUCGGUGUAGCAGUGAAAUGCGUAGAUAUCGAGAGGAACACUCGUGGCGAAGGCGGGUUCCUGGACAUUAACUGACGCUGAGGCACGAAGGCCAGGGGAGCGAAAGGGAUUAGAUACCCUAGUAGUC